GCACAGCAUGGUGACUGGAUUGUAUCCAGACGAUGCAGAACUGCCAUCAUAAAGAGGAUCUGACAGCAAUGAGAUGCACUCCAAGUGCCACGACGUCGCUGUCACCAUGACAACAGAGUUCAGCGAGUGAGCCAGGCAGGACUUGGCCCUGUCACUCUCCUCAGACAAAGGAAGUAUGAUUUUCUGAGCGAGAGAAACAAUGGAGCAGCGGGAUGGAAGAUGGAUGGAGUAGAAGGGGACCAUUCCGGUUGUGCGGCGGCAGGAUGUGCAACAAAUGAAAGACAGGAAACACAGAUAAAGCGCGGCGUGUGUCAGAAAACACAAGCUGAGUGUUAUUAGAGUGUGUGUUGAACAGAACAGCUCUGCGAGGGAUUAGGAGGCUGAGCAGCAGGAGCGAUCUGCUCUGGAGAGAACAGCUUACUGACGCUGCUUUCAAGGUAACACUGCUCUCACUCCCAAACUCGGCAUGGAUGCACCGUCUCAAAGCACCUGCUGCAAGAUUAACAGGGAAAUUUCCUCUUUGUGUGGAGACAAUCAGAAAUCCUUCACCACGAAAGGGACCUGGGAAAGUUGAGGCUGUGAGAUGGCAAAGUUUAGGAGGUGAGGGUUCAUAUAGUUCAUAGUAGGGCUGAGCAAGAUGGAUAAAAUCAAAUAUCACAAUAUGUUUAGAAAAUAUAAUGUGGGACUGACUUGUAACUUUGAUAACUUUAAGACAUUUACACAGGAGAUCAUAUAUAAUAUUUUUUAGGAAUGUUAACAUGAUGACCAUGUGGGUAGAAACUUAUAAAAAAAACCACAGAUGAGUCUGAUUAGUUCAGAAAAUUGCACCCCUUUACUGUAAUGCAGCCUUCACAACCAGGAAAAGACAAAAAUUAUGUCAUGUCACGAUUACAUCAUUAAAAAUCCCAGACAAUAUCAAUAUAUUGUCUAUACCCAGUUCAGUGUUAGUCAUUUUCCCCAUGUUGACCUUGGAUGACAAUGGAACUCAGCUGACCUUGGGAGAGAGAAGCAGAUGUAAGGAAAUU